AUACAGGUACCGUCCCGUUCGAGAAGCAAGACAAAGUGCCAGAUGUCAAAUCGCGACGGCACCGUCAAAUCGCGACCCGUGUUGCCGUGGUAAGAAUUCAAAAACUAACGGAUUGGUUUCGAACAGUCACCCGCCCGG